UAAAAUUUAUUUGAUUUAUUUUGAAAAGGAAGAGAAAAAGGAAAAGAAAAAUAUUAAUAACAUUGUUAUUAUUAUUAUUAUUUUAAAUAAGCCUCAAAAUACGUGAGAGAGUACUAUUCAUCAUCUUUCCCAAAUUUUCUUCCUCUCCUUGAAAACCCUAGAGUCGCCACCACUGUUCACUCUGACUGUUUCUGUUACUCCAUCGACAAGCAUCGUCGUCCACUUCAUCGUCUGCCGUGUCUUUCCAUCAAGCCCAAUCGCGAACCCAAGUCUCCUUUCACAUCGUGCGACCCGAGCCAAAAUGAUUCGAGGUUGAGUUUGGUCAUGACAUUCCUCCACCGCUGCACGCCACCGGUCGCGUCCCUUGUCAUUCGUCGUGUUGUCUGUCUCCAUCUUUAUGUUUCUGUCUUUGCUCACUCGUCAUAAAGAAGGUUCCGGCGAACAAAGCCACAUCCGAGCACUCCUCUCAAAUGCCACUAAGCCAAGUCGCUGUCCUUGAAACCGAAUCGGUUCCUCUUUACUCUAAGUCGUACACGUAGACUCAAGUCAAACCCAAGCCGAGUCCUCCUUUAGCCAAGCUACAGAGGUAGAGGUAGAGGAAAGCUGGUAAAUGACAAGAAGUGACCGCGACUUGCCAUAGGAGAAUAUUUAUGCUUCUGCUUUAUGUUCACAGUAUUUUGAAUUUUAGUAUUUUUAUUUGAAUUUAUCGAACUCAUGAAUUAUUCUAUGUUAUUUUUCUUUAAAAGUUAGAUAGGGUCCAAACUAGGAUUAAAUUUUCUAGUACUUAUUUUUAUUUUUCAAAUUAUGAUUUAUGAAGUGAGCAUUUGAAAUUAUUUAUUAAAAACUUUGAUUUUCUCUUUUUC